AGUGGUAUAAUGGGGCGUUCUAAUUUAUCAUGUGUCAUUGAACUUAGUUGCACCAUGUCCAUUUGGGUGCGGCUCUUUUUUUGUCAUUAUUUUGUAUUUGUGUUGCUAAACCAGCUAUGAUUUGGUUUCUUACGUCAAAUGAACAUGUUCUCUUUUCAUUUACAAGUCAUUGGAGCUAUCAAGUUCUAAUCUGAACAGAUGAGAAAGAAAAUAGUAACUGCUUAUAAAAUGUGGUUUUAAUUGUUGGUUUGGAAUCCUAUUCUUAUGAAAAGUGUUUACUUGGUCAGGUUUAAUAGUAUUGCUGCUGGAGUGGAUUUGUUUCUUUGGAUUUCAGCAUCUACUAACAUUGGUUAGUUCGGACAAUGGGUUACACUAUUGUUUUUUCUAAUAGUGCUCCUACAUGGAUACUUCAAGAUUGCUGCAGUUCCCAGCAACACUGGAGAAGGAACUAGAGAAAAUGAUGGACUUAAAGAAUAGAUUAGGUGGCGGGAUAACUCAGGUAUUCUUUGAUCUUAUAAAUUUUCAACUUAUUAGCAAACUACGAUUGUUGUUGAUUCGAACAUGCAUGACCAUUCCUCACCCAUUGUUUUUUGUUGUUGAUGUAAGCAGCCUUUUGGGAAUUCAUGGGCCAUCUGAUACUUAAAUUUCCUAUGUUGUGUCCCUUUUAAUAAUGGAAGGAGUUGAUGGGCAUGGUGUGAUCAGCGACACAAACAGGAAUAUGCAUGCUAAUGCUUCCCUUGAUCAAAAGAGAGAUACCUAUAAUGAAGCUUGCUAGGCAUCCUACUAUUGUCAGGCUACUGUAUCUACUUUCGGGUAGAUGCUCAUAAUGAAGCUUACUAGGCAUCGUACUCUCAGGUUACUGUAUCUACUUUCUGAGAGAUGUUGGUAUUGCUCACAUUUCUUAUUAGUUUUCUUUAAGUACCAAUAGGAUUAUUAAAAGGCGGUCUACUAUGUAUAGGUUUUGGCAAGGCGAAAGAAUAUAUUUAUAAUAUUAGAAUUUAUCACUGGUGGUGAACUAUUUCAUAAAAUUGUACAACUCACUCUUUUUUUCAUAAAAUCACGGUAUCGUUGCCAAGCAGAUUCUAGCAGAUUCUCCAGUGAAUCAUCUCCUGUUUUGCAGCAUUAUUCUUGAGGAUGUAUGCAUAUGUACUUAUGUUAUGGUUACGCUUGAACUUUCUGUGAUCAGAAUACAUGCAUUACACUUGCCUUCAAGCUGCCAGGUGGCAAGACAAAACUACAACGAUUGCGACUAUACUUAGUUGGCUAUAGCUAUGUCAGUUGAAUCAGAUGAACGAGGUCCUGGAAGAUCGGUAUGUAGCCAUGUCAGCAGAUUUCAUGUCUGUCUGGUCCGUUGUCGCCUGUGCCGCCGGCUCACCGCUCCGGCUGUUUGGGCUGCUGCGUCAGAUCUGCGAGGAAGCCUCUCCAACCCUACUAGCUCUGCCCCCGCUGGAGCAGUGCUGAAGAGACGGUGCUCGGGCACCACUCUGGUGUCGUGGCUCACUCGGUGAAGACCCCAAACAUCUCUGGAGCGGAUUUUUUCCGUGUGUAUGAUCAGGUAUCCAGUCGUUUACCCGCAGAGAAAAGGAACUCAGUUGUAGAAUUACUUUGUUAUGGUCUGUACAUAUUGCUUCA